rnacentral:rRNA from 1 species
CGGUAAUACGUAGGGUGCAAGCGUUAAUCGGAAUUACUGGGCGUAAAGCGUGCGCAGGCGGUUUUGUAAGUCUGAUGUGAAAUCCCCGGGCUCAACCUGGGAAUUGCAUUGGAGACUGCAAGGCUAGAAUCUGGCAGAGGGGGGUAGAAUUCCACGUGUAGCAGUGAAAUGCGUAGAGAUGUGGAGGAACACCGAUGGCGAAGGCAGCCCCCUGGGUCAAGAUUGACGCUCAUGCACGAAAGCGUGGGGAGCAAACAGGAUUAGAUACCCUGGUAGUCCACGCCCUAAACGAUGUCUACUAGUUGUCGGGUCUUAAUUGACUUGGUAACGCAGCUAACGCGUGAAGUAGACCGCCUGGGGAGUACGGUCGCAAGAUUAAA